rnacentral:rRNA from 1 species
GAAUUUUAUAUAUUAUAAAUUAGGGAUAAAGUUUAAUUAAUAAUUUAUAAAAUAUUUAGUUGGGGGGAUUAUUAAAUUGAAUAAACUUAAGUUGUGAAAAUAUCAUAGAUUAGUGUAAAUGAAAAGAAUGAUAAUGAAAUUAAAUAAGAAUUAAUUACCUUAGGGAUAACAGCGUAAUAUUAUUAGAGAGAUCAUAUUGAUAAUAGUGUUUGC